rnacentral:rRNA from 1 species
GAUGAACGCUAGCUACAGGCUUAACACAUGCAAGUCGAGGGGUAACGACAGCGAAAGCUUGCUUUUGCUGGGCGACGACCGGCGCACUGGUGAGUAACACGUAUGCGACCUGCCCCGGACAGGGGGAUAAACCCGGGAAACUGGGUCUAAUACCCCAUAUGCCCUGAGGACGCAUGUCCUUAGGGUGAAAGAUCCGUCGGUCCGGGAUGGGCAUGCGGCGCAUUAGCUGGUUGGCGGGGUAACGGCCCACCAAGGCGACGAUGCGUAGGGGUUCUGAGAGGAAGGUCCCCCACACUGGUACUGAGACACGGACCAGACUCC